rnacentral:lncRNA from 1 species
GUAUUAUAAGAAAGCUAUUAGGCUAACAAUGAUGUUGCUAAAUAAGGUACUGUAAUUUUACAUCUAGGAUAAAGCAUUAAGGAAAAUUAUCUCCUUGCUCCAGAAAGUUUUUGAAAUAUAAGAGAAAUUUGAUAGCACCUUAUAAUUAUUUUUUCCAAAGACUUUCUAGGGAAAAAUCCUAAUCUUUUGUUUCCAAUAGGAUGAUGGAACUGGGUCUAUACAAGAUGCUAAAAAUAAUAAGCAUUUAACAAAUAGGAUUGUGAAUCAAUCUAGAAGGGGAAGACACCUCAAAGGCUAUCUAGUUUCUCACCCAUUUAUUUUACAGAUGAAGAAACUGAUGGCCACAGAUGCUGAGUAAGUUUGUCAAGAUCACAAAGUUAGUAAUGGCACAUGUCCUCCUACUCCAGAAGCAGAGCCUCUUCUGAUCUACCAAAUGGUCUCCUAUUUUGGCAGUUUAUUACCUUUUGAAUGAAUGGGAGGCAGAGCCAAGAUGGUGGAGCACAUGCCAAGAUCCAGUUGAACUCUCCCAACAUUCUGCUCCAGACAACUUUAAAAUAACACCUCAAAUCAACUGUUGAAGAAGCAGAGCCAACAAAAAGUCAGAUGGAGAUAUUUGUCCUGCCUAAGACAACUUAGGAAGUCCAUAGGAGAAGUUUGACACCAGGAAAGACAGUGACUUCAGUGGAAGAAGUAAUAUCAAGGAGUUUGACUAUUGGCAGCAAAGAAGAGGGUCAACCAUGUAUUCAUAGAAGAAUUAGCCUAAAUGAUCAAGAGCCAAGCUACAGAAAGCAGCAAACCCUGAGAGGCCAGAGAAUAAUCAACCAAGUGGAGAGGCUACACUCAGCUGGGAGAUACAUGAGGACGCCUCAAGUUGCCCUACAGUACCAGAGAAGUGAGUUGCUUUGGGCAAAUGUGCUCUAGAUAUGUAAGUCAUU